AGCACUCAGAAACCAGCUGGAAGUCAUCAGUUGCCAAGUCGAAGCUUGAAGGCUGAAUCUACAAACUUUUAAAAAGCUUUUGAAAUCUUCAGUUGAGUAUCAUGAGCAGAACAGCAGUGGUUCUGGUGAGUUUGGUCUUCAUCCUUUCCGUUGGUGCAGAGGAUAAGUCUAGACUCUACCGCAGGCCUGCAUGUGGAGGUUUGAGUGUGAGUCAGGCAUGUCCUCUCAACUACUCUCCUGUCUGCGGUAAUGAUGGCAACACAUACGUCAAUGAAUGCACCCUGUGUGUGCAGAGAAUGCACUCUAAUGCGGACAUUUUGAUUGUGAAAGAUGGCCGCUGCUGAGGUGGACGACCUUAUCAUCUCUUCGCUUUUCAUAUCUAUGUUUGUUUACGAGUGUUUUUGCAAUACUCAUCCCAAUGUUUUCAGUACACUAAUAUACAGUAGAGAAAACCUACUGCAAGUUAAGAUGAGAAAUAAAAAAUAGGGAAACACUUUGCAUAGCUCCAUUUGUUUACAUUAAUUAAAGGGAUAGUUCACCCAAAAAUGAAAGUUAACUAUUUUCUCGCUGUCAAACGGUUUCAAACAUUUAUGAGUUUGUUUCUGCUGUUGAACACAAAAAAGAAUAUUUAUUUUGAAGGAAUCUUACAAAAAUUCAAUUUUAAGAAAAUGGUUAUAGAAAACCUCCCACAUAGCAAAAUUUAUCUGGCCCAGCUCUGGCCCACACAAUCAGGUUUGGCUUGGCCCACAUGCCGCAGUGAAUUACGGUACAUGACUGGACCAAAUCUGGCUUCCAGACAAGGGCCAAACACAGACCAUAUCUGGGCCAAGUCUCAGCCAAGUUAAUAACUCAUAACUGGGCCUGAACUGGGACAGAUAGGUUGGUGUGUCACGAUUGCAAUGAAAUUGAUAAACCCAUGGAGUGAUGCGCUUUAGGCACACUAUGGGCACGCUUUUUAUCAAAGUGACCUGAUUGGUAGAAUUUUUUUCUUUACUCAAAAAUGAUUUUAGUGUAUUUUAAAUGUGGGUCAAGACUGGCCAAAGUCACAUGGCCCACUUAUCAAAUUUUUAAAUCUGGGCCAAAUACUACGUUUUUCAUCUGGCCCAAAUCUUGUGUGCCGCCUUAAAAACGGUGCCACCUCUGCCAAACCCGGGCCAUGUUUGGCCCACAUGCUGUAUGCCAGUGCCGGAUGAAUGCCUGCUGUGCCAGCUUUUUGCCAAAUCUGGGCCAGAAUUCUUUGCUACUAGGGCUGUAACCAUUGACUUCCAUUGUAGGCAUAUUGAGCAACUUCCUCACAUUGUGAAGCAAUUUUGCAAUUUAAAGCUAAAGUUCAGCCAAAAAUGAAAUUUACUCACCAUUACGUAAUUCCAAACCUUUAUGAGAAUUUUUUUUUUUUACAAAACACAAAAGAAGAUAUUUUGAAGAAUGUUAGAAGUUGAUUAACAUUGAUAAAUUCUAUGGAAGUAAAUGGUUACAGGUUUCCAACAUUUACCAAAGCAUCUUCAGCAGAAAGAAUCUCAAACAGGUUUGAAACAAGUAAAGGGUGAGUAAAUGAUGACAGAAUUGUCAUAUUUGGGUGAUCUGUACCUUUAAUGAAAGCAUUUAUUAAUUUUCGCUGAUGUUAAUAUUAACAUUUACUAAUACGUUUUAUCUAAUAACAUUAAUGAACAUAAGCUAACAUGAACUAGCGAUAUAAAACGAACAGAUAAAUACUAAAACAAAUGUAUUGUUCAUUGCUAUUGUUAAUCAAUGCAAUUUGCUAACGUUAAUAAAUGUUAACUCAUAGUAAAGUGUUACCAAACUACUAAUAAGCAAGUGUUACAAUUAAUAAUAAUGUCUUUUUUUAAUCACAUCUGAGUGAUUUUGAGUGAAGUGGGUUUGAUUUUAACAUUACUGUUAUGUAUUUCUGUAUGAGUUGAAUGUUUUGAGAGUGCAAUAUUGGAGUUACAGCUAUUUUUCUAAAUAUGUUCAAAAGAUGAAGGCUGUGUGAAGAUCAUUUAUACUUUGAUUUUUGCUAAUAAAACACACAAAUAUUCACUAGCUCA
ensembl:lincRNA